rnacentral:rRNA from 1 species
GAUGAACGCUGGCGGCGUGCCUAAUACAUGCAAGUCGAGCGAACGGACCAGAAGCUGGCUUCUCUGAUGUUAGCGGCGGACGGGUGAGUAACACGUGGAUAACCUACCGAUAAGACUUGGAUAACUUCGUGAAACCGGAUCUAAUACCGGAUGAUAUUUUCAACCGCAUGGUUCAAAAGUGAAAGACGGUCUUGCUGUCACUUAUACAUGGAUCCGCGCUGCAUUAGCUAGUUGGUAAGGUAACGGCUUACCAAGGCAACGAUGCAUAGCCGACCUGGCAGGGUGAUCGGGCACACUGGAAGUGAGACACGGAACGGAAUCGUGCGGGAGGGAGCAGUAGAGAACAUUCCGGACUGGGAGAAAGCCUACCGGAGCCACGCCGCGUGAGUCAUGAAGGUGUUCGGAUCGUAAACCUCUGUUAUUGGGGAGGAACACAUGUGUACGUAAGUGUGCGAAUAGUGACGGUACCUAAUCAGAGAGCCACGGAUAACUACGUG